GACGAACGCUGGCGGCGUGCUUAACACAUGCAAGUCGAACGGAAAGGCCCUGCUUUUGUGGGGUGCUCGAGUGGCGAACGGGUGAGUAACACGUGAGUAACCUGCCCUUGACUUUGGGAUAACUUCAGGAAACUGGGGCUAAUACCGGAUAGGAGCUCCUGCUGCAUGGUGGGGGUUGGAAAGUUUCGGCGGUUGGGGAUGGACUCGCGGCUUAUCAGCUUGUUGGUGGGGUAGUGGCUUACCAAGGCUUUGACGGGUAGCCGGCCUGAGAGGGUGACCGGCCACAGUGGGACUGAGAGACGGCCCAGACGCCGACGGGAGGCAGCAGGGGGGAAUAGGGCACAAUGGGCGGAAGCCUGAUGCAGCAACGCCGCGUGCGGGAUGACGGCCUUCGGGUUGUAAACCGCUUUCGCCUGUGACGAAGCGUGAGUGACGGUAAUGGGUAAAGAAGCACCGGCUAACUACGUG
rnacentral:rRNA from 1 species